rfam:Pantoea sp. PSNIH2 plasmid pPSP-100, complete sequence.
UUCACCGCGAGGUGAAAUCUGAAGGAAGCCGAAGGCAAAAUGCUGGCCUGACGAACAGGAAGCGGCUGAGGCGGCGUAACGGGGUAAGGCGGCCAUUAUCGUCAAAGCCCGAUACUUGCACGGAACGUUACGACGUAGAGCCGACAGGCAUAAGCAGGAAGGUCGCGCGAA